UACGUAGGGUGCAAGCGUUGUCCGGAAUUAUUGGGUGUAAAGAGCCCGUAGGCGGUUUGUCGCGUCUGCUGUGAAAACUGGGGGCUCAACCCCCAGCCUGCAGUGGGUACGGGCAGACUAGAGUGCGGUAGGGGAGAUUGGAAUUCCUGGUGUAGCGGUGGAAUGCGCAGAUAUCAGGAGGAACACCGAUGGCGAAGGCAGUCAUCUAGGCUACAACUGACGCUGAGGCACGAAAGCGUGGGGAGCAAACAGG
rnacentral:rRNA from 1 species